UCCUGCAUCCAGCAGGGUUUGAGCAGAGGCAAACAGGAACGGAGGAAACAUCAAUACUGAACCUGACAGACCAGACCGGAGUCCCCUGUGUGUGUGACACACUUAUUGAUUCACACCCAGACAAAUAAGACACCCAGACAGCACAGAAACAGCUUUUCUGCUCCUAAACCUCAGUCAAACCUGACUGUUUAAUCUAUACAGGAACAAGAACUAAUAGAAACCCUUACAUAUUUAAAAAAAAAAAAGAUUUAAUUUCUCUUUUCAUUUUGUGCUCAUUCAGCUGUGUGGAGUUUCUAAUCCCUUCCCUGACGACAGGUGAUAUCAGCUCAGGCCUCCUGUGACUCCACCAGCUGACAGAACCAAAUGGAUCGGGACGAGCUCAUGGAAAAAGUCAGCCGAUGACCUAUUCUGUCCUUCCUCCUGCUCGAUGGUUUGUUGAAUACCUGCAUGAACACGCUUCACAAGGAGCUGCAGACAAACCCAGCAGUCACCGCAGGAGGACAGGGUGUGUGGUGGACCAUUCGCCAGGUCAUCACAAGACAAGACAGAGACAAAUGAACAUUGACGCUCACGUUCACACCUGUAGUCAACUUAGAGUAGUGCAGGUCUCUACAGCCUGAAUAGAGACUUUCAGAUCCUGCAGAAAGACUUGGGAUCUAACCCGUGACCUUCUUCCUGUAAGGCAAGUGUGUUAGCCAUAUCUCUCCUGUGUAGUUGUAUUUGAAAUGUAGCGCAUUUAAAAUAUAUGCUGAUUGUAUUCUGAUAUACAAGUACAAGUAUUUACUACCAAUUAUUUUGUUUUGUUAAAUAUUACAAUUUUCGUUGUAAUUGUGAGAAAAAAAAGUCUUUCUUCUUUAACCUGCUUUAAAAAUUGCUCAUACGACAUUUACAAGCUCUACUACAAACAGUCGGUGGAAAUGGAGCAGCUCAGUUCUUACACAUGAUUUUGUCCCUGGGUGCAGUUUGACUACGAUGAGGUCACUUGCACACAAACGCAGAUGCAA